GAUGAACGCUGGCGGCGUGCUUAACACAUGCAAGUCGAGCGAGAAAAGUUCUUCGGAGCUUUUCUAGCGGCGGACGGGUGAGUAACACGUGGGCAACCUGCCUCAUAGAGGGGAAUAGCCUUCCGAAAGGAAGAUUAAUACCGCAUAACAUUGUUGAAAGGCAUCUUUUAACAAUCAAAGGAGCAAUCCGCUAUGAGAUGGGCCCGCGGCGCAUUAGCUAGUUGGUGAGGUAACGGCUCACCAAGGCGACGAUGCGUAGCCGACCUGAGAGGGUGAGCGGCCAGAUUGGAACGUAGACACGGUCCAGACUCCUACGGGAGGCAGCAGUGGGGAAUAUUGCACAAGGGGGGAAACCCUUAUGCAGCAACGCCGCGUGAGGGAUGAAGGUCUUCGGAUUGUAAAGCUCUGUCUUUAGGGACGAUAAUGACGGUACCUAAGGAGGAAGCCACGGCUAACUACGUGCCAGCAGCCGCCGUAAUAC
rnacentral:rRNA from 1 species